rnacentral:lncRNA from 10 species
AGAACAGCACGUAGCAGGCCCCUGUGGAGGAUUAACACAGUGGCUGAACACCGGGAAGGAACUGGCACUUGGAGUCCGGACAUCUGAAACUUGGACUGUGAAUGCAGCCCGUGAAAAAGAGGGUUUUCGGAAGCUUGACAUUUAUGAGGGUGAGGAAUUGACAAGCCGACAUCAGUCUCCAGAGUGAAUCCAAGGAGUGGACCCAAGACAUUUGUGUUCUGUGAUGUGGUGGCAUGUUACCUGUCAUCUCCGAUGCAUAACUCCUAAAGUGCGUCUGGGGCAGUUGUACAGAUUGCAGAGGAUAAUACUCAAGAUGUUCUCCAAGGCCAACUAGUCAUCAGUUUAUUCAUGUUUCUGGGAUUGGAUUCAUGAACUCAUCCUUUGAACUAUUUCAACAAGCUUUUUCAUGUAACUAAUCUGCGGAAGGUAGAAAGGGGAAAACUGUUGGGUGCUAAAAUGACAACUGGUUCAAGGUACAAUGGCGAAUAUUUUUAUUUCUGCAACUUUUCUUAGAGGUUGGAAACUGGACUGGGCAGGAAGAUUCCUUUUUGUAAGAUUAGUCUCCAGUUUUCAUCAAGCAGUUUAGUGGGGUAUUUUAGGCCCAGUUCCCUCUCCACAGUCCCCAAAGGUCUUCUGUUAACUUUAAAUCCGCAAAGAGAGAGAUCUCUGCCAAGCAGCAACUGCAAGAGCAUGUGGGUCAAUGUUACCAGCAGACACUCAAAGCCCAUUCCCUUUACUUCAACACCGCUUUAUAAAUUAUCUUAGAGACGUUGUCAGGUUGGUAUUAGAGAGCUCCCAAGAUGGUGGUGGGCCACUUCCAAGAUGGUGGCAAGAGUCGUAUUCUCUGACCUGGGGUUCUUGGUCUCAUGGAUUCCAAGGAAUGGAAUCUUGCGCCAUGUGGAGAAGCGUCAGAUAAUUAGGCAGCAGUC